rnacentral:rRNA from 1 species
GACAGAGGGUGCAAACGUUGUUCGGAAUUACUGGGCGUAAAGCGCGUGUAGGCGGCUAUGUAAGUCGGGCGUGAAAUCCCACGGCUCAACCGUGGAAGUGCACCCGAAACUGCGUAGCUAGAGUCCUGGAGAGGAAGGUGGAAUGCUUGGUGUAGAGGUGAAAUUCGUAGAUAUCAGGAGGAACACCUAUUGCGAAGGCAGCUCGCUGGGACGUAACUGACGCUGAGACGCGAAAGCGUGGGGAGCAAACAGG